CUCAUGUCUGAGGGGCAGCAGCACCAAAAAAAUUCCGAGAUGCAAGGAGCUGCUGGGCGCUGAAGAAGUAAUGCGGUCCCUUUUGCUGCUGCACCUGGUGCUGUUGCUCUUGCAAACUAUUACGGCGAGGCCGCGUCCACCCGACUGCGACGCGCAGUGUACGCUUCGCCGGGCACUGCUGGACAGCCUGUCGCAGGGCUACGCGCGGCACCGCCGGGGACCCUUGCAGCGGGAGAUGCAGGAGGCGGCCGCCCGGCGGCCCGACGCGCGGGCCUACGAGCUGCGCGUGCGCGCCGCUCUGAUGGACAGCCUCUGCUACCCCGGUCGCAGGAAGCGCUGACCAACUCUGCAGGACGACGCACUUUGCGCACGCCGCUAUGCUGCUUUGAUCGUGGCGUUCCACAUUUGGAAGCAACAUCUCUGUAACGCUAGAUUUUGCGACUAUGGUUAAUUUCAAAAAUUUCAUUGAUUCUACGACAGUUAUAUUCUGUGAGCGUUCUGCGCCUUCUUGAAAUUUAAAUUUCGUUUGUGAAACCA